CACUUCUUAUCCCGCAGAGGAGUGCACCAAUGCAGUGGCUUUCGGACGACAUGGCAAGAUACCAGAGGGGAAGCAGCUGCUUGACCAAAGCAAAGUUGAUGGAAUUCUGACCUAUGUGAGGCGGUGCGCAACGAUGGAGAACUGGAAACCAGUAGAGGAGGCCAAGCUUAAAAAGGCCCUCAUAAAUAAAUGCUGUCACAGGUCAGUACAGUGACUGGCUUUACAGGCAUAAUGUUUACAACAGCCCCUUGUUCACCAGUGUGCCCUCUUGUUCAGCAAUUGUGAAUUUUUUCACCGUUUAUUGACAUGUUGUUACACCAGUGGUUGUCAAUUGGGAUAAUGUGAUUGCUGUCACUUUUACAAUGUAUGGCCUGGUUCACUCUUGUAAAAUGGUAUGCACACUGGUAUGCGUGUUGAAUUAAUGCAAAAUAAAUGAUGCUGCAGUUCA